UACAGAGGGUGCAAACGUUGUUCGGAAUUACUGGGCGUAAAGCGUGUGUAGGCGGUCGUGUCAGUCGGGCGUGAAAGCCCCGGGCUCAACCCGGGAAGUGCACUCGAUACUGCAGGACUUGAGUUUCGGAGAGGUUGGUAGAAUUCUUGGUGUAGAGGUGAAAUUCGUAGAUAUCAAGAGGAAUACCGGUGGCGAAGGCGGCCAACUGGACGAAAACUGACGCUGAGACACGAAAGCAUGGGGAGCAAACAGG
rnacentral:rRNA from 1 species